rnacentral:rRNA from 1 species
GCCAGACUCCUACGGGAGGCAGCAGUGGGGAAUAUUGCACAAUGGGGGAAACCCUGAUGCAGCGACGCCGCGUGAGCGAAGAAGUAUUUCGGUAUGUAAAGCUCUAUCAGCAGGGAAGAAAAUGACGGUACCUGACUAAGAAGCUCCGGCUAAAUACGUGCCAGCAGCCGCGGUAAUACGUAUGGAGCACGCGUUAUCCGGAUUUACUGGGUGUAAAGGGAGCGCAGGCGGCUUUGCAAGUCUGAUGGGAAAGGCCGGGGCUCAACCCCGGGACUGCAUUGGAAACUGUAAAGCUAGAGUGCCGGAGAGGUAAGCGGAAUUCCUAGUGUAGCGGUGAAAUGCGUAGAUAUUAGGAGGAACACC